rnacentral:rRNA from 1 species
UACGGAGGGGGCUAGCGUUGUUCGGAAUUACUGGGCGUAAAGCGCACGUAGGCGGCUUUGUAAGUUAGAGGUGAAAGCCCGGGGCUCAACUCCGGAAUUGCCUUUAAGACUGCAUCGCUAGAAUUGUGGAGAGGUAAGUGGAAUUCCGAGUGUAGAGGUGAAAUUCGUAGAUAUUCGGAAGAACACCGGUGGCGAAGGCGGCGACCUGGUCCGAUACGGACGCUGAGGCGCGAAAGCGUGGGGAGCAAACAGG